UUUUAGUGUUUGUUACGUAGUGGUAAUUACGGUAACUGUGCGUUAUAACGAUUAUCAACAGCGGUUGUCAUUUCGGAAAAUAAUGGUUAAAAUUCCUUUUUCAGAUUACUGUAAAAAGACGAACAGUCACCUGUGUGAAUAUAUAAGUUUGGUGUAGGCCUACGGCUGGGUUAAACAACUUGAAGGUUGAUUUUACAAAAACGGUAGCUGGGAGGAUCUAGAUCAUUAAUGUUUGUGAGGUGACAACAAUGGUGGUUCAUUACUCCAGUAGUGUUACCGAGUGUGGCUUUAUCUCCUUCGUUCGUCUCCUCUUCAGAUGGCGUGGCAGUGUCUACAAGAUGGUGUGGCAGGACAUGCUCAUCUACCUCCUCCUCUACUACGCAAUAUCAUUCGUCUAUAGGUUUGGCCUCACUGAAGAUGAAAAGAGGUAAUGUA